UACGUAGGGUGCGAGCGUUAAUCGGAAUUACUGGGCGUAAAGUGUGCGCAGGCGGCUUCGCAAGUCGAGUGUGAAAUCCCCGAGCUUAACUUGGGAAUUGCGCUCGAAACUACGGAGCUGGAGUGUGGCAGAGGAAGGUGGAAUUCCAGGUGUAGCGGUGAAAUGCGUAGAGAUCGGCAGGAACACCCAGGGGGAAACCAGUCGACUGGGCAGCACCUGACGCUGAGGUGCGAGAGCGUGGGGAGCGAACCGG
rnacentral:rRNA from 1 species